GUGUAUGGUGUACCAGUUGUCGUGCCAACGGCAUAGCUGGGUAGCUAUGUAUGGACGGGAUAAGUGCUGAAAGCAUCUAAGCAUGAAGCCCCCCUCAAGAUGAGAUUUCCCAACUUCGGUUAUAAGAUCCCUCGAAGAUGACGAGGUUAAUAGGUUCGAGGUGGAAGCGUGGUGACACGUGGAGCUGACGAAUACUAAUCGAUCGAAGACUUAAUCAA
rnacentral:rRNA from 1 species